GCAAACAGGUACAAAAAUGAUGCUGCAGUUGCCACAAACCACAAAUGAAGCUAUGUUAAAUAUUUAAAAUAUUGCAGUUCCAAAUGGGUGUUCGGGAUAAAAUAUUUUAAUGUGAGAUCGAAUAACCUAAAAGAAAGGAUGUUGCCACUGAGUCUAGAGAUGUAUUUAAACAAACCAGGCUGCAAGUGAUCCUUCACAGCUUUGGGCAUGGGAGUAUGAGGCAAAACCAACUUCCAAUAACCCUCAGAGAAGGUAGAGAAGCAUGGCUUACUACCACCACCACCACUGAGUCAACUUGACGAGUGUUCUCACUUCAUCCUCUUCCCAUUCUGGCUUUUCUUUCGGUAAGUCCACAUCUUUUUCCUCUUCAUUUUUGUUAUGAAUAUUGUCAAUCAAAUAUUCUUUCAGUUGUGUUAUUGUUAUUAAUGCAACUUAAUUGCAGGUGGUGGUGGUAGUAAGCCAUGCUUCUCUACCUUCUGAAGGUUACUGGAAGUUGGUUUUGUCUCAUACUCCCAUGCCCAAAGCUGUGAAGGAUCACUUGCAGCCUGAUGUUUUGGGAUUCACAAUCAGUUCAACAAAAUCCCUCAACCAUUCCAUGCAAAGCAGGCUCAAGAUGGCUUAAAUAUAGGUAACUUCUUCUUGCAAACAGAUCUGCACCCAGGUACAAAAAUGAUGCUGCAGUUGCCACAAAGUACAAAUGAAGUGAAGGAAAAAUCUGCAGAAGCUGAGCUGAUGAAGAAGGAGGUAGAAGAGCUAGUGUGAGGAGGCUGCCAUAGAUGGAGAAUCUAGGUUCUGUGCAACAUCAUUAGAGUCCCUAAUCGAUUUCAGCACUUCAAAGCUCGGAAGAAAAGUGAAUGUGCUGACGAAUGAGGUCAAAACGGGAAGCCAAGAGUAUGAAUUUGGAGUGGGAAUGAAGAAGGUUGCAGACAAAUCAGUGGUGUGCCAUAAGAUGAACUACCCAUAUGUUGUUUUCUAUUGCCAUACCUUCACUAAGACACGAACUUACAUGAUUCCAUUGGUGGGUGCUGAUGGAAGCAAAGCUAAAGCCAUGGCAGCUUGUCAGAGUGAUACAUCAGCUUGGCACCCACAGCAUGUGGCCUUCCAAGUGCUCAAAAUUAAGCCAGGAACGGUCGCAGUCUAUCAUUUCCUUCACAACAAUGCCAUGGUCUGGAUUCCAAAGUAAGAAUCAGCCUCAAGCCUCAAGCCCAGUUGCAUUAUCAGUUCCAUCUUAAAGCUGUUUGUAGUAUGAAUGGUUAGAAUAAAUGCAGGUUCGAGGAUUAAUGUGUGUAGUGUGCAAUUGAUGCUAUGUAUUCAUCAAUGUUUCCAGGUUGAUUAAUUAAGGAGUAUUAUGGUAUAUAUAUAUAUAUGUUGUGUGCAA